rnacentral:pre_miRNA from 1 species
AUGCACUGUAUAUAAACAUAAUGUGGUAGAUAUAUGCACGAUAUAGGUAUGUAUGUAUGUAUGUAUAAAAGCAGGGCAGUAUAUAUAUCGUGCAUAUAUCUACCACAUUUU